GGCGGAGUAGCUCAGCUGGUUAGAGCGGUGGAAUCAUAAUCCAUGUGCCGGGGGUUCAAAUCCCUCCUCCGCUACCA
rnacentral:tRNA from 1 species